GGUUAGAGCUCAGUGGUAGAGUACUUGCCUAGCAUGUGUCUGAGAAAACAAUUUUAACUAUUCCUGUUCAAUAAUUAUCUAGAACCUAGGGCCUAGCAUGUGUGAGGCCCUGGGUUCAAUCCUCAGCACCA
rnacentral:tRNA from 1 species